UACGAAGGGGGCUAGCGUUGUUCGGAAUUACUGGGCGUAAAGAGUACGUAGGCGGUUUAUUAAGCUAGAUGUGAAAUCCCUGAGCUUAACUCAGGAACUGCAUUUAGAACUGGUAGGCUAGAGAGUGUUAGAGGUUGGUAGAAUUCCUAGUGUAGGGGUGAAAUCCGUAGAUAUUAGGAGGAAUACCGAUGGCGAAGGCAGCCAACUGGGACAUUUCUGACGCUGAGGUACGAAAGCGUGGGUAGCAAACAGG
rnacentral:rRNA from 1 species